rnacentral:rRNA from 1 species
GAUGAACGCUGGCGGCGUGCCUAAUACAUGCAAGUCGAGCGAACAGACGAGGAGCUUGCUCCUCUGACGUUAGCGGCGGACGGGUGAGUAACACGUGGAUAACCUACCUAUAAGACUGGGAUAACUUCGGGAAACCGGAGCUAAUACCGGAUAAUAUAUUGAACCGCAUGGUUCAAUAGUGAAAGACGGUUUUGCUGUCACUUAUAGAUGGAUCCGCGCCGCAUUAGCUAGUUGGUAAGGUAACGGCUUACCAAGGCAACGAUGCGUAGCCGACCUGAGAGGGGGAUGGGCCAAACUGGAACUUAGCCACGGGCGAGACACCGACGGGGGGCAGAAGUAGGGAAUUUUCCGAAAUGGUCGAAAGCCUAAAAGAGUAACCACGGGAGAGAGAAGAUGGUUUUCGGAUUGUAAAACUCUUUUAUUAGGGAAAAAAAAAAGUGAAAGUAACUAUGCACGCUUUGGCGGGACCUAUUGAAAAAGCCGCAGAGAAUUGCGA